UCACCCUGUGAACAUACCUAUAACGUUGCCUCGGCGGGAACAGACGGCCCCGUAACACGGGCCGCCCCCGCCAGAGGACCCCCUAACUCUGUUUCUAUAAUGUUUCUUCUGAGUAAACAAGCAAAUAAAUUAAAACUUUCAACAACGGAUCUCUUGGCUCUGGCAUCGAUGAAGAACGCAGCGAAAUGCGAUAAGUAAUGUGAAUUGCAGAAUUCAGUGAAUCAUCGAAUCUUUGAACGCACAUUGCGCCCGCCAGUAUUCUGGCGGGCAUGCCUGUUCGAGCGUCAUUACAACCCUCAGGCCCCCGGGCCUGGCGUUGGGGAUCGGCGGAAGCCCCCUGCGGGCACAACGCCGUCCCCCAAAUACAGUGGCGGUCCCGCCGCAGCUUCCAUUGCGUAGUAGCUAACACCUCGCAACUGGAGAGCGGCGCGGCCACGCCGUAAAACACCCAACUUCUGAAUGUUGACCUCGAAUCAGGUAGGAAUACCCGCUGAACUUAAGCAUAUCAAUAAGCGGAGGA
rnacentral:rRNA from 1 species